GAUGAACGCUGGCGGCGUGCCUAAUACAUGCAAGUCGAGCGAACGGACGAGAAGCUUGCUUCUCUGUUGUUAGCGGCGGACGGGUGAGUAACACGUGGAUAACCUCCCUAUAAGACUGGGAACACUUCGGGAAACCGUAGCUAAUACCGGAUAAUAUUUUGAACCGCAUGGUUCAAAAGUGAAAGACGGUCUUGCUGUAUCUUAUAGAUGGAUCUGCGCUGCAUUGGCUAGUUGGUAAGGUAACGGCUUACCAAGGCAACGAUGCAUAGCCGACGUGCGAGAGUGGUCGGCCACACGGGAACUUGGACACGGUCCAUACGCCUACGGGAGGCAGCAGAAGGGAAUCGUCGGCAGUAGUGGAAAGCCUUACGGAGCAACGCCGCGUGAGUGAUGAAGGUCUCCCGUGCGGAAAACUCUGUUAUUAGUUAAGAACAUAUGUGUAAGGAACUGUGGACUUCUUGACGGUACCUAGUCAAAAAGCCACGGCUAACUACGUG
rnacentral:rRNA from 1 species